rnacentral:tRNA from 1 species
GGGCCUGUAGCUCAGUUGGUUAGAGCGCGCCCCUGAUAAGGGCGAGGUGGUUGGUUCGAUUCCAACCAGGCCCACAA